UUGUGGUUAAAAAGCUCGUAGUUGGAUCUCGGCGGUCUGAGGGCGGUUCGCUUGAUUGAGUGCUACUGCUCUAUAGGCCGUGGUUUUGCCAGAGGUCUCGGGGUGCUCUUAACCGAGUGUCCUGCGAUGCUGGCAGGUUUACUUUGAAAAAAUUAGAGUGCUCAAAGCAGGCUUUUACGCCUGAAUAUUCGUGCAUGGAAUAAUAGAAUAGGAAGUCGUUUCUAUUUUGUUGGUUUUCGGAAAUCGACUUAAUGACUAAUAGGGACAGUCGGGGGCAUUUGUAUUCAAACGACAGAGGUGAAAUUCUUGGACCGUUUGAAGACAAACUACUGCGAAAGCAUUUGCCAAGAAUGUUUUCAUUAAUCAAGAACGAAAGUUAGAGGUUCGAAGGC
rnacentral:rRNA from 1 species